CCAAUACCUGUUGGUUGGGUAAUUAUGGCUCCUGUAUAACCUGGUGGGGACGGUAAAUACCCUCGAUUUGAUGGAGGGUAUCCAUGGUUUAGGUGUGCUGGCGACGUGUUUCAAUGUGAGAGUGAAGAUUUCAUUGCAGAGAGAACAACAAAACGAGAACGACGACCUUGAACGCCCAACCAUUCGUUUACAAAUAAAAACAGGCAUUGAAUUGAAAAUUUCUUUCAAUAAAUUUCAAGUUGGAAAUGAUGGGAUGUAGUAUAGUAAAACAUGUUGCAUUUAUUGGUAUUAUAAAUAUAUUUGUUAUGUACUUUAGCCAUAAAAUGAUGUCAUUGUAUAUUAUAUAUAUAUAUUAGAAAACGUUGUAUAUAGAAUAUACGCUUAAAAACAUUUAACAAAGAAAUAAUAAGAGGCGUUUUAAAAACAA